ACCCAAAUGGCGCGGGAGGAGGAAGAAGGGGUCAGCUUCAAGCCUGACGUUCUAGGGGGGAGCCGCUUCUUAACCCACAGGACACUUGCUCUCUCUUUCUUGUGACCCCAACAUGUCAGCUGGCAAGACUCAACAUUCCUGUCUGGGACUGAGCAGCUUGAACCACUUGUAUGAGUCACAGACAAAUCCCAGCGGAUCUAAGCUUUUGAAAACUUGACCUUUUGUAAAAAUGAGGAAACUGAAGUUAUAGCCCUUUCUGGAGUGUGGAAGCUUUGGAAACAUCGCACCACAGUGAAGCAAGCCGGGGAGGGUGCCAGCCCAAACCAGAACCAAGUGUGGGCAUUUCAUGCCAUGAACACAAAAGAAAAGGAGAAUCAUACCCCCAUUCCACCACCCCACUCCAACCCCUCCACUGUGGCUCCAAUGUUACAGACCACUCCUAACUUCAGUCCCGGAAGAAUGGAAGGAAGGCUGCAACUUAAGAGACUGCGGUUAGAAGUGAUCUUCAUAAAUUGUUUGCCUUGCCUGUGUCUAGAGUCCUUAAGAUGGAGUGAAGGUACCUGAGCGCAGGAACCAUGGUCUUCAUUGCUGCCUCAGCAUUAGCGGAAGUGCCACGGGCCGGCUCCCAGGGGGCCAGAGUUUCCCAGGAACACCAUUGAGUACCACUGAACUAGAGUCUGCAAGUUAAAGUAAGGCAAGAAGGAAAACCGGAAACAACUGUAAAAACCUGACCUUUCGUCACCUUAAUACUGGCCAUCAUUUAUCGAGUGCUUAUUAUGUAACAGACAUUGUUCUCAGUGUGUGAGUGCAGUGUUCCUCAAACCUAAAUGUGGGCCUGAAUCGCAGCGGAUCUUGGUAAAAUGCAGUUUCUCAUUCAGUACCUCUGGGGUGCGGCCUGAGAUUCUGCAUUUCCAACAAGCUCCCAGGAUACUUUGUAUAGAAAGGCUUUGGUGUAUUAACUAACUCGAUCUUCUUAAUAAUCCUAUGAAAUACUACUGCUAUUCCCAUUUUACAGAUGAGGAAACAGAGGUUAAGCAUAUAUGAACUUACAUCAAAAUAAAUAGACUGCAGGGCAAGGAGGGAGGGGAGAAUAGUGUGGGCAGUGUACAGUGCAGAAACAAAGUUCUAGGCAGAGGAAAAAGGAUUUACAGAAAGCCUGGCAUACAGGGCAGGGGGACGGGGCCUGCACACGGGGCUGUUUCACCGUUAGACGUUAUAAGCACAGUACUUGGGGCUAUGGGCUUCCUGAAGGUCCCAAGUAUUUGAGACCUGAAAAAAAUUUAUUGACACCUACAUAGGAAAAGUGAACUUUUAAAUUAAUAAUUCCAAAAUUCAAAUCACGAAUUGUUUCAAAAAUUUUACAUGAUAGAAUUCAUAUUUAGUAAGCGAUACGGGUAUAUUUUAAUGCAUUUGAUUUUAAAAACGGGGUAGGGCCUACUAAGAACAGGCCAAGCCCUGGCCCCAGUGGGUUUGGAUAUAAUCCUGAGGGCAGCUGGGAACCACUGAGAGAAGCAGGAGAAUGUUCUCUGUGGCUACAGUGAGGAGAAUGGAUUGGAGGGAGGCCAGACUGGAGGCCCAGUGGCUAGAGACCAGAUAGGCAGUUACAGUCUUCCAGACUGCGAGACAAUCUCUCUUUAGUGCCAAGAUUAGCAUAAAAUCAUAGCAUUAUAUAACCCAAUUAUUCUUUGAUUCCUGCAUCCCCAAUCUGACUCAGCAUUCUAAAUUUACUUAAGAUCUGGGGACAAGGGUUUUUGGCAAAUCCUUGAAGGCAAAUGAUGUUACAGUCAAUCAGUAUAUGCCUUGAGCCAGACAGACAUGGGUACGGGCCUCAGUUCUGCUGCUUGCUAGCUAUGUGACUUUGCACAAGUGAUUUAACUUCUCUGGGCCUUGGAUUCCUUACUGGUAACACGAGCAUAAUCGAUUCCUCACAGAAUUAAGUGAGAAAACUAUGUAUGUAGGACUUCUUA
ensembl:lncRNA NINJ2-AS1 NINJ2 antisense RNA 1